rnacentral:lncRNA from 7 species
UUUCCUUGAUUAGCUCUAAAAAAAUAAUCACCCGGCUGGACUUGGGGGAAGUUUUUUAGGGGCUGUUUGAAAGCAGAGGGCUCCUCUCCUGCAGGUGCUGCGGGGAUGCGCCUCACCAUGGGCAGGUCCCAUCUCCUGUCCUGUGAAUAAACCUGUGCCCCAGCUUUUGUCAUACAGACACCAAGUCCCUUCUUCCCAGCUCUUGAAGAAGGCUUUGGAGUGUCCUGUGGACAUUACAGAUGUUUUGUUGGAAGGUCAGCACGCUACAAAAAUCCCUGCAAAGUGGUCCCUGCUGGCAAAAAGAACCCUCAAGACAAAACCCAAGGUUUAUUACGGAGUAUGAAAAUCAGGAAGCUUUUUGUUCACUUCAUACAUCUCUUCCGACAAAGCCAGGCAUCAGAACCCGGCACAGACUCCAGAGUGAUUAUUGUUACACAUGAUCUAUGGAGCAGAUAAAUUACAGCUUGAUUUUUAUAAGGUUUCUCAGAGCUGGAGAAGGGCAGAUGGGGACAUGGGCUCCUGCAGCAGGGGCUGUUCUUGCAUCACCCACUGGCCGAGCCUCAGAAGUGACCUAACAUAAGUGGAGUGGAAAGCAAGGUGGAAGGUUUUUUGCACACGAUAUAGCAGUAGUAAUGAAUAAUGAAGGAAUUUUUACCUUCUUUGCCAUUUUAGCUUGCUUUUCUUGCUAAUUAUUGCCUUCCAGUCCAAAUGAGCAUCUCAAGGUUGACAAGGUAAUUUGUGUGUGUUUUGGAGCUCAUGACGUGGUAGGUCAGGAAUUAAAGCAGUGCUGGAAGUGGGGAUCACAUCAGAUCCAGUCAUCUGCAGCAGAGGAGGAGAAGCUCAAGCAAGAGCCAUGAUCCUCUACCCUUUUAUCAAAUCUAAGGACUCUUUCUCCCAUCCUCUUCUAAAAAUUCCUAUUUAUCUCAUUCAAAUACAUCUGCUCCUAAUAGAUGAGAGGGCUUAAGUUCUGAAUGCAAGGACAUAAAGACUUCUAAUGAGAAUUAUACACCUUUCUGUCCAUCUCAGCAGCUGACCUGUGCAGUUACCCACUUAUUUUCAAACACUCCGGUGCAAAUGCUCUUGACACAAAAUACUGCAUCAAUGUUGAAUAAGGGCUUAUCCUAUCAACUGCACUGUGUGCUAUGUGCAUAUGUAACCCCAGCCAGGAUCUCACGGUCAGACAAUCCCAAAUUGAUGGCAGCUCUAUAAAAUGUUUUCUCUUGUAGCUGUUCUUUGGGAUGCCCAGUUGACAGCUCACGUAUCAGCACUCGCUCAAGUCACAGUUUAACUCCCAGAAAAUCUUCAGGAGCAACAAAAACAUUGCUGAAAGUAUCCUAUGCAAUAUGAAAACAUUUUUAUCUUUAUCAUAUGGUGGAAGAUUAAAGUCAGUCUACAUGAAAGCAGAGUGUGUAACUGGAUACAAGAUUCCCAGAUAGGUGGCACGUGUCAACAGGCAUUACAUGGUGUCUUUAGGUGAGCCUUUGAUACAGCCUGUUAAAUAGUUCAGUGAGAUAGAUGCAACCAUGAGAGGGUUUCAAGACCUUGAUUUGCUUUCCAGCUCAAAUAAAUCCGAAUAGAACAGAC